UUAUUCGAGAUUUAAAACAUGUCCACGGUAUUUACUGUCUGCUUUUUGUACAUUUUGACAGUUUUUCGUGUUUGCAAAUCUGACGAAAAUACAAAUAUACAGAUUCCUUUAAUGGAUAAUGUAAAGGCGCCACUUUUUGCUGAUUUAAAUUUGUCAACCGUGGCUCAACAACUGAAGAGAGUAAUUCAACAGGAAGUGAAGCGCAGCGUACAAAACAGAAUUAAUGAUAGUGGGAAUUGCGACCGAAAAAUUGAUGCAAUGGAGAAAACCCUACAGGACUUGGUGUUAAAUUAUACAAAUACACUUAAUCAGCUGACACCGACUGUUGAAACUGUAGAUUCAGCUAGCUGCCAAGAGCCAUAUCAGAAGAUAGGAAAAGGAUGCUAUUUUAUCAGUGAUGCCAUAGUUUCGGGU